ensembl:snRNA U6 U6 spliceosomal RNA
GUGCUCACUUCCGCAGCUCAUAUACUAAAAUUGGAAUGAUACAGAGAAGGUUAGCAUGGCCUCUGUACAAGUAUGACACACAGAUUUGCGAAGCAUUCCAUAUUUUU